UACGUGGGGUGCGAGCGUUAUCCGGAUUUACUGGGCGUAAAGCGUACCGUCGGCGAUCUGAUAAGUUCUUUGUCCAAGCCUGGGGCUCAACUCCAGACAGGCAGGGAAAACUAUCAGAAUUGAGUCUGUUCGGGGAACCUGGAAUUCUCGGUGGAGGGGUGAAAUCCGUAGAUAUCGAGAGGAACGCCAAGCGCGAAGGCAGGGUUCUAGGACACGACUGACGCUCAGGGACGACAGCUAGGGGAGCAAAAAGGG
rnacentral:rRNA from 1 species